GCCUACAACUCUACCACCCUGAACGCACCCAAUCUUGUCUGAUCUUGGAAGCUAAGCAGGGUCAGGCGUGGUUAGCACUUGAAUGGGAGUCUUCCAGAACAGUCUUUCUACUCU
rnacentral:rRNA from 1 species